rnacentral:lncRNA from 1 species
AGAUAAACCUUUGUUUCUUUGUACUGAUCGGGCUCGGUUUAGCCAUACUAUCAGCCUAUUGAACUUGGCUUGCUGGCAAGUGCUGAAAAUCAUCUCAUUUUCUUAUAAUUAUUCUAACAAUGCGGUUAGCCAUACUAUCAGCCUAUUGAAUUUGGCUUGCUGGCAAAUGCUGAAAAUCAUCUCAUUUUGUUAUAAUUAUUCUAACAAUGCUCUCAUGUUCUUUUCAUUGAUUCCUUUCUUAAACACAAGCUAUGUGCCACAAACGUGUUAGGUCUUUGCUAUACUCGAGUAGGAUUUUUGUUUUCAGGAUAUACAUUUAGACUAUAAUGUCUUUUGUAGUGAAAAGGUAUCUUCCUGUUUUGGGGGUUGUCAAGAUGCCGGACAUAUCUUUGAGAAAAAUUGAUCAAGUUGAAAAAGUAAAAACUUUUAAAUUUGCUUAUGCUACUUUUUCUUUAUAGUAGGGUUACGCUUGGAGUACUUUUGUGCAACCAUUAUCUUUAGUUUCUGUGUCCUCAGUGGAAAAUUGAAGACGAACAUACUUUAGAUCCUACAGUUGGCUAGCUCAUUAUUAGCAGUCAUUGUGCAUCAAGCCAUCAUUUGGACAUGCCUGCAGAUACCAUCAUCAGUCAGAAACAUUGUAUACCUAUGACACAAGUGAUCCACCAGCAGUUAUUCUAUCCUCUGUCCUUGUGGCUUAAUCGUUUGCCUCAUGGAACCCAAGUGUCGCUGAAGUUAGCUCUUCAUCUCAGAACUCCCUGAAUUCAGUCACACUUUUGUUUGAUCUGUGUCCCAUCAAUGCACCUGAGUAUAUGAAGUCUCUGGCUAGGUGCACAAAUUUGUGGUUUCCCUGGUGUCCAUGAUUGCUCAAGGUACUUGGGCAGUGAUUCCAGUUAGGUGUAAAUUAUAUAUUAUUUUCGGGUUGAGCAGAAGAGUGGGAGGGAGCACUAUAACUUAGUUCAUGGGUGCAAAUAAACAACCUAUAAGGUUUGUCAUAAGUUAUUCUUUGUGAACUUUGCGAGCACAGGCUUUCUGGAGGUAAUGUGUGAUGUAUAAUCAGGUUGUUACAUGUGAGUAUAUAAUAAUUGGUCGUGUUUGAUAAAUGUUUGACUUUUG